rnacentral:rRNA from 1 species
CGAAAGCCUGACGGAGCAACGCCGCGUGAGGGACGAAGGCCUCUGGGCUGUAAACCUCUUUUCUCAAGGAAGAAGACCUGACGGUACUUGAGGAAUAAGCCACGGCUAAUUCCGUGCCAGCAGCCGCGGUAAUACGGGAGUGGCAAGCGUUAUCCGGAAUUAUUGGGCGUAAAGGGUCCGCAGGUGGUAAUUCAAGUCUGCUGUCAAAGACCGAAGCUUAACUUCGGAAAGGCGGUGGAAACUGAAAAACUAGAGGACGGUAGGGGUAGAGGGAAUUCCCAGUGUAGCGGUGAAAUGCGUAGAUAUUGGGAAGAACACCAGUGGCGAAGGCGCUCAACUGGGCCGUAACUGACACUCAGGGACGAAAGCUAGGGGAGCG